rnacentral:lncRNA from 1 species
AAAAAUUCAUUAAGAAAGAAUGUUAUUUUGUUUUGAGAAUUUUAAAUUAAUUAGAUUGCUAAUAAAUGUGGAAAUAGAUUUAUCCUCAUUAACACUGUGUUUUGUUUCUAAGUGUGUGUCCAAUGAGGAGGGAGGAAGGGUGUUUCUAGUGUUUGUUUAAGUAGUUUCGAGAGUAAAGGAGUGGAUGAGAGUAUUUUUUUAUUUUUCACACAAAUGAAGAGAUUGGUACUCAGAUUCCAGUUAGGAUUAUUGGAUUUUACCCAAAUAUCAUUGUGUAUAAAUU